CCUCCUCUCCCCUCGUGUUCCUUUCCCGAGCAGCUGCAGCUCAGCGCCCUGCCCCUGCCUGCCCGCGGCGCACAGUAGGCAGCUGCAGCGGCGCCCUCGGCUGCUCCCUUGUGGCGAGCGGUGCCUGCCGCGCGAGCGCCCAGGAGCCGAGGCGCGGACUCACAGCAAGAACCAGGCCAGCCACGCAGCGGCCGGCAGCAAGCCGUGGCGCUCUCGCGCAGCAAGCAGGCAGAGCAGCUGGUAGCAGUAGCAAGAGCUCUUGACGCCAGCAGCAAGCAGUAGCAAGAGCGUAGCAGCACAGGUGUGCGCCCACAAGGUGUUCGACGUUUUGCUGCGUACAUGCUAGCAGCCCGGCAGCACCUGCACACGGCCCGGCAAGGUGUCCACACGCAAGAAGGCAGCCCAGCACUCAGCAGCAGCACGAUCUCAGGUCCAAGCACACGAGAUGGACUCAUUGCUCCGGAGGUUGCUUGAAGAUGACUCGUCUUCGGAUGAGAACUAUGAUGUGGCGGCUAUAAUGCUCGCUAAUCUUGCAAAGAAUGAGCAGCCCAAACAUGGUGAUUCUGUGCAAGGGCAUGAGGUGGUUCGUCGGAACAAGCAGAAAGGAGAUGCAAAGCUCUUUGAUGAAAAGGGUCAACCUGAAAAUUUUGUGUACGACCAUGUGGGAACACCUGUGGAACCCGAACAAGAUGAAGACCGAGUCUACAAUUUUCUAGAAAUGCAUCGAAAGAUCGAAGACCCCGUGGCACAUAGCCAGCUUCGUGAUGACCUUGUUGAGCAUUUGUGGCAAAUACAUGGGCAAUUAAAAUUACUCUUGUAGCUGAACUACUCUUGUAGCAAUUUUAUUUGAAUGUAUAUAUGGAGUAUGGAAAUUCAGAGUAUUCUGAAUUUUGAAUUCUUUCACUUGUCUGUGCAUAACAUUCUGAAUUCAGAGUAUGUAUAAACUGACCUUUUUCCCUC